rnacentral:tRNA from 1 species
GCACCCGUGGCUCAAUUGGAUAGAGCGUUGCCCUCCGAAGGCAAAGGUUGCGCGUUCGAAUCGCGCCGGGUGCGCCA